GACGAACGCUGGCGGCGUGCUUAACACAUGCAAGUCGAACGGUGAAGCGCCUUCCUUUUUGGUGGGUGUGGAUGAGUGGCGAACGGGUGAGUAACACGUGAGUAACCUGCCCCCUUCUUCUGGAUAACCGCAUGAAAGUGUGGCUAAUACGGGAUAUUCUGGGUCUGUCGCAUGAUGGGUCUGGGAAAGAUAUUGUUUCGGUGGGGGAUGGGCUCGCGGCCUAUCAGCUUGUUGGUGGGGGGAUGGCCUACCAAGGCGGUGACGGGUAGUCGGCCUGAGAGGGUGGACGGUCACACUGGGACUGAGACACGGCCCAGACUCCUACGGGAGGCAGCAGUGGGGAAUAUUGCACAAUGGGCGCAAGCCUGAUGCAGCGACGCCGCGUGAGGGAUGGAGGCCUUCGGGUUGUGAACCUCUUUCGCCAGUGAAGCAGGCCUGCCUCGUUUGUGGGUGGGUUGACGGUAGCUGGAUAAGAAGCGCCGGCUAACUACGUG
rnacentral:rRNA from 1 species